rnacentral:rRNA from 1 species
UACGAAGGGGGCUAGCGUUGCUCGGAAUCACUGGGCGUAAAGCGCACGUAGGCGGAUUGCUAAGUCAGGGGUGAAAUCCUGGAGCUCAACUCCAGAACUGCCUUUGAUACUGGCGACCUUGGAGUCCGGGAGAGGUGAGUGGAACUGCGAGUGUAGAGGUGAAAUUCGUAGAUAUUCGCAAGAACACCAGUGGCGAAGGCGGCUCACUGGCCCGGUACUGACGCUGACGGUGCGAAAGCGUGGGAGCAACAGG